GGAUGUGAGAGCAAUCUGGCUGUGACAUCUGUCACCCCAUUGAUUCAAAGGGUUGAUUUGGCUGAUCUGACUGAGUGGGUGGGUGUCCCCUUCCUUUCUCACUGCUCCAUGUGCAUCCCUCCCAAAGCUGCUCAGUCAAAGAGGACAACCCCCCCCGCGAUAAAGAAGGACCAUUUUGUUUCCUAGGUCAAGGGUAUACAAGAAGCUAUGCUGCCCUGCUAUUACCUCCAAACAAGCUCUCAAGAAUAGAGAAAAUAGGGCCGGGGCUUUAGCUCAGUGGUUCUGCU
rfam:Heterocephalus glaber contig123317, whole genome shotgun sequence.